rnacentral:rRNA from 1 species
GCGCCUACGGGAGGCAGCAGUGAGGAAUAUUGGUCAAUGGUCGGGAGACUGAACCAGCCAAGCCGCGUGAGGGAUGAAGGUACAGAGUAUCGUAAACCACUUUUGUCAGGGAGCAAAGGGCGCCACGUGUGGCGCUUUGCGAGUACCUGAAGAAAAAGCAUCGGCUAACUCCGUGCCAGCAGCCGCGGUAAUACGGAGGAUGCGAGCGUUAUCCGGAUUUAUUGGGGUUAAAGGGUGCGCAGGCGGAAUG